rnacentral:rRNA from 1 species
CCUACGGGAGGCAGCAGUGAGGAAUAUUGGUCAAUGGACGGAAGUCUGAACCAGCCAUGCCGCGUGCAGGAAGACGGCUCUAUGAGUUGUAAACUGCUUUUGUACAAGGGUAAACCUGAAUACGUGUAUUCAUCUGAAAGUACUGUACGGAUAGGGAUCGGCUAACUCCGUGCCAGCAGACGCGGUAAUACGGAGGAGCCAAGCGUUAGUCGGAUUUAUUGGGUUUAAAGGGUGCGUAGGCGGAUGGAUAAGUUAGAGGUGAAAUGUCCGAGCUUAACUCGGGAAGUGCAUCUAAUACUGUUGAGCGAGAGAGUUGGUGCGGUAGGCAGAAUGGAUGGUGUAGCGGUGAAAUGCUUAGAGAUC